rnacentral:rRNA from 1 species
AGUGAACGCUGGCGGUAGGCCUAACACAUGCAAGUCGAACGGCAGCACAGUAAGAGCUUGCUCUUACGGGUGGCGAGUGGCGGACGGGUGAGGAAUACAUCGGAAUCUACUUUUUCGUGGGGGAUAACGUAGGGAAACUUACGCUAAUACCGCAUACGACCUACGGGUGAAAGCAGGGGAUCUUCGGACCUUGCGCGAUUGAAUGAGCCGAUGUCGGAUUAGCUAGUUGGCGGGGUAAAGGCCCACCAAGGCGACGAUCCGUAGCUGGUCUGAGAGGAUGAUCAGCCACACUGGAACUGAGACACGGUCCAGACUCCUACGGGAGGCAGCAGUAGGGAAUAUUGGGCAAUGGGCGAAAGCCUGAUCCAGCAAUACCGCGUGGGUGAAGAAGGCCUUCGGGUUGUAAAGCCCUUUUGUUGGGAAAGAAAAGCAGCGGGUUAAUACCCCGCUGUUCUGACGGUACCCAAAGAAUAAGCACCGGCUAACUUCGUG